rnacentral:rRNA from 1 species
UACGUAGGGUGCAAGCGUUGUCCGGAAUUAUUGGGCGUAAAGAGCUCGUAGGCGGUUUGUCGCGUCUGCUGUGAAAACUCGGGGCUUAACCCCGGGCCUGCAGUGGGUACGGGCAGACUAGAGUGCGGUAGGGGAGACUGGAAUUCCUGGUGUAGCGGUGAAAUGCGCAGAUAUCAGGAGGAACACCGGUGGCGAAGGCGACUUUCUGGGCUGUAACUGACGCUGAGGCGCGAAAGCGUGGGGAGCAAACAGG